rnacentral:lncRNA from 12 species
UGGGAACUCCUGAAGAGGCUGCUCCAUGCUCAAAUCCUCAUUCUGCCUAUUUCCUAGGUGCCCUCAGGAGGAUAUUUAACCUCUUUGUGUCUCAGUUUCCGGACCUGCAGAAUGGGAGUCCUGUGGAUGCUGGAGCAGGAACUCACAUCUGCUGCCAGGAGUAGGGGAUCGCUCUCCUCCGUUGGCGGCCUCCCCAGGGCUUCCCCACCCAUCCCAGUGAAUCUGUGAAGUCUCCCAGGGCUCUCCCUGCUCCUUUUGCGCCUCCUCUCCUUGGGCCCCAGCAGAGCCUACCCCCACUGCCCUUGGGUAAUCUCCCCGGUGUUCAGAGCCUGGCUGGAGCUGGGAGAGCCCAUGGAGGCCCAGGUAAGCACAGUCUGGAAUUCCCUCCGUGAGUGGAGAUAGGUUGCAAUGUGCCCUUGUAGGGUCAUGGGGAGAUUUCAUCUACCAUUAGGAGAACGCAGAGUGUCAUGGCUUUGGGUUCUAACUGUGCGGGGAUGGCAAUUCAAAGGGAACCCUGAGAGCCAUGAUGUGCAGGAGCUUGUAGGACAAGCAACCAGGCUGCAGUAGUGGGGGGCAGUCGGGCAAAAAGGGCCUGGUCCUGACCAUCUGGGGGAUGCGGGCCGUGUACAUUCCAACCUUGCCUCUCUACACGGAGGAUCUGGACCACAGCUGAACACUGACCACAGUAACCCUCCGGGCCUAAGGAACCAAUCCGCAGGCCAGGAUCAUGUGCUUCAGGCUCCAGCCAGUGGCUGUGCCACGUGACCCGCUCUGGCCAAUGGGCUGUGAACUGCAGAGGGACAGUUCCCACAUCCCUGCUUCUCUUCCCAGCAGCUGCUCAGGCUCCAGGGCAUGCAACAGCUUCCACACACUCCGCACUGGCAGCAGCACCCACUUGCCAUCUCACGGCUCGUGGCAAGGCCUGGGAAGCGCAUUUCUUCUUUGCACAGCAGAGCUCGGUAGGCGGGGAACAGAGAAGGACCGCGGACUCACCCUGGUCCCCACAUGGUGUUCGCUGGCCACAUCACAGUGACCCUAGUGCCACCACCAGCGGGAGCAGCAAGUGCAGUGGACACCUGUGCCUGAAAUGAUGGUCCCGUAUCUUCAAGAUGGUCCCGGAAUUUAUUUUGAACAGGGG